GUGCUCGUUUCAGCAGCACUUAUACUAAAAAACUGAAAUGAUGUAGAGAGGAGUAGCAUGGCCCCUGCUCAAGAAUGACAUGCAAAUUCAUGAAGCAUUCCAUAACUAA